rnacentral:rRNA from 1 species
AUGGAGACCUGUAUGAAUGGCAUCACGAGGGCUUAACUGUCUCCUUUUCCAGGUCAAUGAAAUUGAUCUCCCCGUGCAGAAGCGGGGAUACCUCCAUAAGACGAGAAGACCCUAUGGAGCUUUAGACACUAAAGCAGCUCAUGUUAAAGCUCUAGAACAACAGAUUAAACUGAGUGACGCCUGUCCUAAUGUC